UGAAGAUGUUGUGAUGGAGUCGGUAGAACCAGAAGUGAUUGUGCAGAAGGUGAGGUUGAAGCAAGUGCAGCAUAGAGACACCAGUGAGUGGAAACUUGUCCUAACACAGGUUUUUAAGGCAGAUGACAAAAAUAGAACAGCAUUGAAAUUAUUAAGAGACAUUCAGCGAAUAUCCUACAACAGCGGCACACAGGCUGAAGCAGGACGCAAGUGUAU